GGAGGGAUGGCUGAGGCCGGUUGAAAGCGCAUGACUCGAAAUCAUGUGUCCGCCUUGCGGUGGACCGGGGGUUCAAAUCCCUCUCCCUCCGCCA
rnacentral:tRNA from 1 species